AUCACUUCUCAGUCUUUUGAAUAAGAUCAAGUGUAGUAUCUGCUCUUAUGAGUUUAAUACCUGAUACGUCCUCUAUCUGAGGACAGUAUAUUAAAUGGAUUUUUGGAGCAGGGACUUGGAAUAGGAGCUUGCUCCAUCCACUCCAAGCAUCAGCCUGGUAUUUCAGUACUUCCAAGAAUGGUGCAUCCUCU
ensembl:snRNA U2 U2 spliceosomal RNA